UGGCAUCCACUCGAUAGAGCAUUCUCGAAUUCUAUCAUUUCUAAGGCCCCACUCACUUUCCCUUUCUAUGGACAACCACUAGCACCACGGAAUCCAAAACGACAACCUUUGUUCCUAGGUAACAAUCAUAUCGUUCACUUCCCCUGAUCUGAAUCGAGGCCCCCCAAAACUCGUCGAAAACUCGAAGAACACAACAACCCAUCACCACCUCAAAAGAAACCCCCACCCCAAAUAGCAACAAUCCUCAAUACCCUUCCCCACCUUCAAGCCUCGUUAAAGUUCCUUGUCCACCAACAAACACCCAGUGUGAUGCCAUCAGAGAUCAUCUCCACCAUUUCUUCCCCCUUCCCCCACAUGUUGGUUGUGUCGAUCGUUGUCCACCGCAUCCCUCACAAAGUCCGACACACACCCUUCCAAGGAAAUCUAUCCCUAAACUCAUUGCGUAAAGACAUGCAAGGGCCUCCGUUGCAAAACUCAUAGGAUCUCCUAUCAUUCCUUUGAAAUGUUGCAUCGAAAUUUAUUUUGAGGAAAUGAGCCUCCAGGGGCUUCCAACAUUCAUUCUCAACCCUUCGAAUAGAUUUUUUCUAGCAUCAUGCGCAGUCGAAUUAAGGAGGGAGAUUGUUGGGAUAAGGCAAAAAGAUGUGGAGUCUCUUUACGACUAUUGGGAGCAAUUUAAAAAGUUGUGUGCAAGUUUCCCACAACAUAGGAUAACAGAAUAGUCUCUGCUCCAAUACUUUGAUGAAGGCUUGAAGCCUAUAGAAAUGAAUAUGAUAGAUGUCACUAGUAGAGGGAUAUUAGUGAACAUGACCCCCUAACAGGCAAGGGACUUGAUCUCCACGAUGGCUGCAAAUACACAGCAAUUCCGAGACAAUCUAGAACCCUUUAGAAGGGUUCACCAGCUAAGUAAUUCAACUUUAGAAGAUAAAGUUGAUAAACUUACUAAUAUUGUGAAUUCUCUUUUUACAGUAAAAGCAGGACUGACCCAACUAUGCGAAAUUUGUAUAACACCCGAACAAACAACUGACACAUGUCCUAGUUUGUAUGAUGAUACUAUGGCCCAUUUGAAUGCUGUGAGGAACUUUUCUAGAUCGCCUCAAAGGUGAUAUGACUCUCAUGCAAGUACAUAUAACCCAAGAUGGAAAUAUCAUCCUAGCCUGAGUUAUAGUAGAAACCUGCAACAUAACCAGCCAUACUAAAACUGGUUUCUACAACAAAGGAAGAUUCAAGUACCUCUUUAGAAAUCAUGGUCAAUAAAUUAACAACUAAUAUGUUUGAUUUCCAACAGCAAAUACAACGACAAACUUUUGAUUUCCAAAAGGAAACAAAAGAUUUUCAAAAGAAAAUCGAGGCGUCUAUAAGAAAGUUGACCACAUCAAUUGAGAAAAUGAACUCACAAGGAAACCUGCCGUCACAAACGGAACCUAACCCAAGACAACACGCAAAUGCAAUGACGUUGCGAAGUGGAAAAGUAUUGGAACCAAAUCCUGGCAGAAAUCUUUAUCAAGAUCCAUUGCCCAUAAUUCAACCUCCAUUCUAGGACGGUUGAACCAACAUUGGAGAGGUAAGGAGGAAAAAGAGAUCCUCGAAACAUUUAGAAACGUGGAGAUCAACAUACCAUUAUUGGGUGCCAUCAAACAAAUUUCGCGAUAUGCCAAGUUCAUUAAGAAGCGUUACACCAACAAGCGAAAAUUAACUGGAAAUGAAAGAGUAAGUGCUGAUGAAAAUGUAUCUGCGGUGUUGCAGUGAAAGAUGCUAGCAGAAUGUAAAGAGAGGGGCAUGUUUGCAAUACCAUGCAAAAUAGGCCACUUAGGAAUUAAAAAAAGCUAUGUGUGAUUUAGGGGCCUCCAUAAAGGUAAUGACUUUUUCUAUUUAUGAAUCACUUAACGUGAGUUUUUUUUAUAAAAAUAAGUGUUAUCAUUCAAUUAGCAAACAGAUCUAUUGUGCAUCUCGAAGGAGUCAUUGAGGACGUAUUAGUAAAAGUCAACAGACUUAACUUUCCUGUAAACUUUUAUGUGGUAAAAAUGGAAGAAGAUAACGCUCUUGGGUCUUCGGAUAACUUGUUGGGACGACAUUUCCUUAGUACCGCAAGUACUCAGAUUGACAUGCGUAGGGAAACCCUCACGAUGGAGUUUGACGGGGAGAUCGUGGAGUUUAACGUUUACGACGCCAUUAGUCACCCGAGUGAAAUCUUGAACGUAAACUGUGUUGACAUAAUUGACUCAUUAGUAGAAGAAACUUUUGAGUCACCUUAUGAAGAUAAACUUGAAACAUUGUUUGAUGAUAAUUUCAAUUUCGGAUCUAUUUGUGAACCUGUUAAUGAAUUAUCGGCUUCUAUGAACACUAAACUUCUACCUCUAUUGUGUAGGCACGAGAUCUGAAAUUAAAACCACUUCCCGAGCAUCUCAAGUGCACAUUUUUGGAGAAUGAUGAGAUCAUUGCUGACUUAAAAGGGAUUAGCCCCUUGACAUGUACAUAUAAGAUUUUCUUGGAAGAAAAUAUGAAACAAAAGCGAGAGGCGCAAGGACGAUUGAACCCAAAUAUGUUGGAUGUGAUAAAAAAGGAUAAUUUCCAAGCCCAUACGAUCGAAAGAUUUCAGCUGGAACAGCCCCAAUACUAGUUGGGGCGUCAAGCUAACGACGUUAAACAAGCGCUUGUUGGGAGGCAGCCUAAUUUUAUUUUUAUUUUAUUUUCUAUUUUUUUAUUUUCUUACAUGUUAAUAAAUUUUAUCUCUCUUCUUAUAUCCAGGAGAAUCAAGGAAUCGAAAAAAUUAAAUUUGGAAACGGGCGAAAACAGUAACGAAAACAACAUCAGGCAAAAGGAAAUUUGGGGGCGAAAAGUGAGAAUUUACAAACAAAAUGAGUUAGCAUGCGAAAUAGGGAAUAAAUGGUGUCGAAAAUACAAAGUGCAAAAAACUUGGUGAAAAAAUUCAAAGAAGAGAUUUAUGAACAGAAGAUUCUAUUUAAAUUCAAAUUUUAUUUUUAGGAUUAUUGUUAGGAUUAUGAUUAUAUUAUUUAGAUUUAAUUUCAGAUUAUAUCUUUAUUUAUCUUUUAGAGUUUAAAUAGGAGCAAACUAGGUUUUCUAUGUACUAUAAAUAGAGGAUAGAGUCACAUGAAUAUUGACUCAUUUUUUCUAUAAAAAGCUCAUUCCCUCUGA